AAACAGGCCAAAGUCCACUGAGGGCUACAAUGGGAUCCACAAAGCAAAGGCCAGAGAGGGCAUUAAGUGGAAACCCAGCCUAAAACAGAGGGGUCUGUCCGUUACAGACUCAGCUUCUCUGGCCUGCAGAGGCUGAUACCAUUGGCGAUGAGGUCUCCAGCAGCAGCUUUCAUGGCAGAGCUCCCAGGCUGGUUCCUGUUUUGUGGGAUCUUUCUGCCUGUGACUGUACUGCUCCUCCUUCUCAUUGCUUACUUCAGGAUCAAAUUGAUGGAGUUUAAUGCAGAAGUGGCCCAGGCUUCUGAUCCCCGGGACAUUAAGCAAGAUGACUAUCUCCAAUACCAGAGACUGAAGCAACAUGACAUUCAGAGAUCAGCCACAAAAACGAAAUGAGUUUAAAGGGAUACGUGCUGGGCUGGCAGAUAACCAGCAACAAAUUGCUCACAUCUAGGUAUAUAAAACAAAACCUCGAGGGAAACAAAAUGGUAAGAGGUUUGGCCUAUGUGCUAUCCAACACAAAAACAGCAACUGUCAACCGUAGGGCCUCAUCACUUUAUUUUCUCUGAGAUGCAGCUAAACAACGGUUUUUCUGAUUCACCAUCAACAGUGGUUUACUAAAAUACAGUGUGAAUUUUUAACAAGAAUUCUCCCUCUUUCUUCAAUACUUGGCUUCAGGGAAGAAAACAUCAAAUGAAUCUAUUUGAGUUUGGUGGUUUUAUAACUUCCAGGGACAAGUGUAAUUAUACACAAUAUUUACAGAGUAUCAUUGUCAACGGUUUGGUAUUUUAAAACACACACACACAUACACAUACAUCUUUGAAUUAAUAUUUACAUAAUCUUAAAGAAGCACAAGAUAUUACUUUGAUUUUACAUCUGAAGAAAAUGUGGCAGCAAGAUCAAAACGUCUUGCAAAAGAUGAGAAAGUCAGAAAGAGCUCCACGAACAAUCUCAGCCAAGGCUGGACCCGAAGCCUCCUCUCCUGUCUUAAACUUCUGUCAAAUAAUAUCUCUCUCCCUCAAUGGUAUUAUUACAAUCUUGUUGCAUUUGUUCCUUCCUUUUUGGGAUUUCCUAAGUUAGAACAAUAUGGUGAAAAAAUAAAGCAAUUCCUCAAAAUAAAUGAACUUUCUCAACAGUGAAUGGAUCACUUUGGUUAACUGCAGUUUUCAGUGUAUGGUAAUCCAACUCCAAAUCACAAAAUCCUAAAUUGGGGCAGGGGAGUGACCUGAGAGUUCUCACAUUUUGAGGAUUGGUGGUGAAGAAGCAGUAGGAGACCCACAACACUCAGGAAAGGAAAAUGAAUUUGAAGCUUUGUCUCUUCAACAGAAAUUCUGGAAAGUUCAUUCUGAAUAUGUCAGCAGGCGGUUAUAUGCCAUGAAAAACAUAGAGAUAUCCCUGCCUAUCUGACAGUGACAUUGUGGGGAUCAAAUGAAUGGGAGUAUGUGGUACUAUUAUCAACAUCAUGGAGAGGGAACAUUGGACAGUGAAAGGCCCACUGGAUCUGAAGUAUAAUAUGUGAGUUCCAACUUACACCUGUGUGAGUACAACUCUUACUACUUUCUUGAGCAAGCCUCUGUGGGCCUCAGCUCAUCCACAAAACGAGGAGGUGGGUUAAGGUCUUUUAGCUCUAAGCGCAUGAUCAACACUGCUUUUGAUUUAU